AUUGAACGCUGGCGGCAGGCCUAACACAUGCAAGUCGAACGAGUGGCGGACGGGUGAGUAAUGUCUGGGAAACUGCCUGAUGGAGGGGGAUAACUACUGGAAACGGUAGCUAAUACCGCAUACCAUCGGAUGUGCCCAGAUGGGAUUAGCUAGUAGGGGGGGUAAAGGCUCACCUAGGCGACGAUCCCUAGCUGGUCUGAGAGGAUGACCAGCCACACGUGUACUGAGACACGAUCCAGACUCCUACGGUAGGCAGAAGUGGUGAAUUUUGCACAAUGGGCGCAAGCCUGAUGCGGCCAUUCCGCGUGUAUGAAGAAGGCCUUCGGGUUGUAAAGUACUUUCUGCGGGGAGGCGUUACCCGCAGAAGAAGCACCGGCUAACUCCGGGCCAGCAGCCGCGGUAAUAC
rnacentral:rRNA from 1 species